rnacentral:rRNA from 1 species
UACAGAGGGGGCGAGCGUUGUUCGGAAUUACUGGGCGUAAAGGGCGCGUAGGCGGCCUGCUAAGUCAUACGUGAAAUCCCUCGGCUCAACCGAGGAACUGCGUCUGAUACUGGUUGGCUUGAAUUCGGGAGAGGGAUGCGGAAUUCCAGGUGUAGCGGUGAAAUGCGUAGAUAUCUGGAGGAACACCGGUGGCGAAGGCGGCAUCCUGGACCGAGAUUGACGCUGAUGCGCGAAAGCGUGGGGAGCGAACAGG